UUGGAGGGCAAGUCUGGUGCCAGCAGCCGCGGUAAUUCCAGCUCCAAUAGCGUAUAUUAAAGUUGUUGCAGUUAAAAAGCUCGUAGUUGAAUUUCGGAAUCCAUCCAUCGGUCGGGCCUCACGGUCCGCACUGGUGUGAUGGAUUUCUACCUUCUGAAUAACCAGCAUGUCAUUAAUUUGGUGCGUUGGGGAAGCAGGACUGUUACCUUGAAAAAAUUAGAGUGCUUAAAGCAGGCUAGUGCCUGAAUACAUUAGCAUGGAAUAAUGAAACAGGACGGCAUGGUUCUAUUUUGUUGGUUUCUAGGAUCACCGUAAUGAUUAAUAGGGAUAGUUGGGGGCAUUAGUGUUCAAUUGUCAGAGGUGAAAUUCUUGGAUUUAUUGAAGACUAACUUCUGCGAAAGCAUUUGCCAAGGAUGUUUUCAUUAAUCAAGAACGAAAGUUAGGGGAUCGAAGACGAUCAGAUACCGUCGUAGUCUUAACCAUAAACUAUGCCGACUAGGGAUCGGACGAUGUUAAUUUUUUAAUGACUCGUUCGGCGCCUUACGGGAAACCAAAGUGUUUGGGUUC
rnacentral:rRNA from 1 species